GGAUGAACGCUGACAGAAUGCUUAACACAUGCAAGUCGAUGGGGAAGUGGUGCUUGCACAUGGCAACCAUGGCGGACGGGUGAGUAACGCGUAAGGGACUUACCUGCAGGACUGGGAUAACAGGGGGAAACUCCUGACAAGACCGGAUAAUGUCAUGGAGCUGCAUGGCUUUAUGAUGAAAGGAGACGCCUGCGGAGAGCCUUGCGUCCUAUUAGCUAGUUGGUGAGGUAAUGGCUCACCAAGGCGAAGAUAGGUAGCCGGCCUGAGAGGGUGGACGGCCACAAGGGGACUGAGAUACGGCCCUUACUCCUACGGGAGGCAGCAGUGGGGAAUAUUGGACAAUGGGGGCAACCCUGAUCCAGCAAUUCUGUGUGCACGAAGAAGGUUUUCGGAUUGUAAAGUGCUUUCAGCAGGGAAGAAGUAAGUGACGGUACCUGCAGAAGAAGCGACGGCUAAAUACGUG
rnacentral:rRNA from 1 species